rnacentral:lncRNA from 10 species
CUCUGUCUCAAAAGCAAAAAAAAAAUUAGGCCUGAUUAGCCUACAGUAUAGUAUAGGAGCUAUGGUAACUAUUUUGGACAUUUGAAGUGUUGUAAUAUGAAAGGGACAUUCUUUUUCUUACAAACCCUAAAGGUCAGAUCAAAGAUGUGGAUGAGAGUUUGAGAAAGCCAAUUUCUGCCUAAUGCAGACAACAGCUCUUUAAAAAUUGUGAAAUGUUGUAUCACGAGAAGGCUUUGGGUAUAUGUUGGUCCAACCCACAGACCGUGGGCUGCGUGAGGCCUAUGAUGGCUUUGAAUGUGGCUCAGCACAAUUUAUAAACUUUCUUAAAGAAACGUAAGAUUUUUAGUGAUUUUUUUUUAAAUUCAUCAGCUAUAGUUUAGUGUAUUUUAUGCAUUGCUCAAGACCAUUCUUCUUCCAUUGUGGCACAGGGAAGCCAAAAGAUUGGACAGCCCUGGUUUAGAAUAUGGUAGAGAGAUUUGCUUUAGAAGGACACUAGGCUAGAUGACUUUUAAUCUUUCUUCCAGUGCUGGAUCCCUAUGAGUCUUUGCAAUUUGUAGGGAGCAUAAGUUGGUGGUCAAGACUAGAGAUUAUGUUUGGGAAUGAUCUGUGAAUAAAUGACUCAUCUCAGUUGUGAGUUUAUGAACAGGGAGAAGAACAAAAGAGAAGAGGAACAGAACCUUGGGAGAUACUGAGACUCCAGGGAGGAAGAAGAAGCAAUACCAAAGAAGUAGCACGGGAAAGAAAAAACAAAUCAGUACGACUGAUUUAACAUAGUAUGUCACCUCAGCAUUUAUCUCCUCAUGUAAAAUUUUGUACUGCAUUCAGAAUAUCUAUUUCAUCUUAUUCCUCUCUGAUACAUAAAUCUUUUUCAUCUGAAAUUCCUAUUUGUGAAGUUAUUACUUGGUUUCAGAGUUAUUCAGGCUCAAAUGGCUCCCUCCCCUCAGAGUUUUCCAUUUAUUAUAGCAUCCUAACUAGUAUAUCUUUCCUAGGAGGAUAAAUUACUACAGCUGUGGGUUUAAAAUCUAUGGUUACCUCCCAACCUCCUGCAUUUUUAACUGAGUUUAUAUUCAGGCUCUUCAGAGAGAAAUAUGACUGAACAACCAGGAAAAUGUUGCAUUACCUAAUCCAGUUGUACAUUAGUGGCAGGAUAAAGACAAACUCUAGGUCCAAUAAGCAAGGUAGACAAUUUCCUGGAGACUCUUGUAUCUGCUACUUCUCGAUUUAGCUUUUACCUGGGACUGAUUCCAGUAUGAUAAUGGUGAAAGUUAUUGAUAAAGAGACAUCCACACUUUUAUGAAUCCCUCCUUACUCAUAUAGCAACAAGACUUUUGUAUUGUAAAUUUAGCAGAUGGAAGACCACAGAAAGAAUAAAAACAAAACUGUCCGUAAAAGAUUAUUUAAAAACUUUCAAAUGGAAAAUGCACACUGCAGGUAAAUCAGGUCAAUCUAAAAGAGAUAUUUGUAGUAUAAGCAGGACAAGCUACAAGCAAGCAAGGCUCUGAGUGAGGUUUCCUCCACAAUCGAAUUUAGAAUUGCAUAGAUUUUUAAUGUGGGUGUGACAUUUUGUUGAGGCAGGUUAAGUGAGGAGGAAGGCAUUUCUGGUGCUUGGGAAGAUGGCGUGGCUUGGUCUCACGUAUUCCUCAGGCUUUGCUCGACUGUGACCUAACAAUGCACAGGUAUGCCUGCCUGCCUGUUUUCCUAUCUGGAAAUGCCCUGGAUGGCAUAAUUGACAUUUAUUUCCUUGAGGAAUUUCCGUUAAUGCAGAUGUCUCUUCUAAUACAUCCAUUACUAAUAUUUCCCUAUGUUCUAUAAUUACACAGAAAUUUUACUCUUAAAUUGUCCUCUGUAUUGCAGUGACAGAAAGCCUGGAAUCUACCUUUCUUAGACUCACUUACUAGCAGUUACUGGUUUAGGUUUUGCCAGUGAGAAACUCGUGUGUGAGACUUGGAAGGUGAACAAGAAGAAGAAGCCAUUGAUCUUCAGUGGGAGCUGCAGGCAGCUAUAUGGGCAUUGGAGAUGGCAGGUAUGGAAUUUUCCCCAGUGGCUUUAAGAUGUCCUCCUGAUAAUCACUUCCCUGAGUGCUGCAAGUAGCUGAGACUUCCAUUCCCCCUAAGUUACUUUUAGGCAUGCGUUAAACAAUUCAAUACAGCACACUGAAUAGGCUUUAAGGAAGUCUAAGUUUUGAUCAUCUUAGUUGAUAAUUGUUGUUGUACUUGAUAACACUCUGGUUGCAUGUGAUCGAAGUUCAAAUGGAAAUAGCUUAAGAAACAGACAGUAAUUUAUUUCUAUUUAGAAUAAAAUAAAAGUCUAAUAGACAUUUCAGGUAUCGUUGGUUCUAUGGACUGAAAUGAGUUCAAAAUGACUCUCUUACUUUACUUAUUAGUUCUUUCUUUAUAUUGACUUCUUUCUUAUUCAGGCCCUCCCUACACAGAAAAAAAGAUGGCAAUCAGCAGCUCAAACUCAGAUCCUACUAUGAUGGCAAUGGCAUAAAGAUUGAGCUUUGCUCCUAAUCACUUUUAAGAAGGUCUAAGUAAGACUUCAAGUGACUUAGCUGUGUCCCAUAUGCAGCCUUCAGUCAUUUGCUGUAACUGGCUGAACAGAAUACUCUGACUAGGCCUGACUCACGAGUCUCCCCAGGAAGCACAGAGAGCAGGUAUCCACUUCCCUGCAACUGCAUAGCCUGAAUGGCACUGCUUCCACCGAAUCUCAACCCUGUGAACUAAAUUGCAUGGUGUCCACUUCACCCCAGCCACAAAGACUGAAUACCUUUAUGUCCACCUUACUCCAACCAUAUGGACGGAACAGGAAUCUUAUGAGGGGAAACAAAAGGACUUGCCAAACAAGUGAACAUUAUGCAUUAUGUUACAGAGGAUGAACACAUGUUAAGUACUGUCAGUAGAGGAUGCAGGAGAGACAUUGAGAGAGGAUGAAGGAUUCUUCUAAUUCUGUACACCUGCCAAAGUCUCACCUCAGCUGCCUGCCUAGAAAGGCUGCUUCCCAUGACCCUCUCUACCUGAAGACCACAUGUUCUAAUUCUCAUGCAAAAGCCCCAUCCUCACUCCCUCUUUAUACAUUCACUUAUGAACUGUGGCUCUCUGCCACCUCAUUUCCUGCUUGCCCAGCGACCAUGGACCAGCUCUGAUCUGAGUGUCCUAGGAAACUUCUCUGGAGGUUGCAACUACACCUUCUCCAACAAGACCUGAACCCCACCUUGGAAUCCCCACUUCAACCUUGUCCUUCAUUGCAUCAUUUCCCUGAGCCCUAGGCUAACCAGCAGAGUUCUCUUUACAUCCUUAUAUUUACUUCCCUGCCAUAUUUAAUAAUUCUUUACAUUAAAAAGUUCCUGUUCAAAUUACUAU